UACGUAGGGUGCGAGCGUUGUCCGGAAUUAUUGGGCGUAAAGAGCUCGUAGGCGGUCUGUCGCGUCGAUCGUGAAAACUUGGGGCUUAACCCUGAGCUUGCGGUCGAUACGGGCAUGACUGGAGUUCGGCAGGGGGAGACUGGAAUUCCGGGUGUAGUGGUGGAAUACGUAGAUAUCCGGAGGAACACCAGCGGCGAAGGCGGCUUUCUGGUCCGAUUCUGACGCUGAGGCGCGAAAGCGUGGGGGAGCGAACGGGG
rnacentral:rRNA from 1 species